UGCGUAGGCGGUUCGGUCAGUCGCAUGUGAAAGCCCUCGGCUCAACCGAGGAAUUGCAUGCGAUACUACCGGACUUGAGGGUGCGAGGGGUGAGCGGAAUUCCAGGUGUAGCGGUGGAAUGCGUAGAUAUCUGGGAGAAGGCCGGCGGCGAAGGCGGCUCACUGGCGCACAACUGACGCUGAGGCACGAAGGCGUGGGGAGCAAACAGGAUUAGAUACCCUGGUAGUCC
rnacentral:rRNA from 1 species